UUGAAAGUCACUGAGCUCUUCAGUAAGGCCAUUCUACUGCCAACGUUUGUUUAUGGAGAUUGCAUGGCUGUGUGCACAAUUUUUAUGCACCUGUCUGCAACGGUUGUGGCUGAAAUAGCCGAAUCCACAAAUUUGAAGUGGUGUCCUCAUACACUAUAUAUACAAAAGUAUCACAAUCUCUAUCCGAAAUGUUUCAUCUUGUGAACUAAGUUUGUUUUCGACAUGUUCUAUAUCACAGUUAAAUGUUUCUAGGUGAUAGUACUAUGUUGCAGAAUUGAUGGGCUAGCUCACUGUACAGUGAUGCUAACAAUGCAUCUGAAGCUGACGCCGAUAAGCAAAGUACCAGAACUUAUGGAUGAACAUUUUAGGAUGGGCCUAACACAUUCGUUUGCACAUUUUCACUUGUUUAUUUCUCUCAUACUGUACAUCAGAUAGGCCUCUUUUUUUUCUUUUUUAAAUGAGCCAUUUCCAAACAUGUAUAGUGUCUUGUUUCUGAUAUAUAUUAUACAUACACACUGCUUUCCUUAAAUUGGUCAACAUUGAGCUUUUAUUAAGAAUGAGAUAUGCUUAUCCUUUACAGUAAAUAAACCUAAAUAUUUGUUAAGUCGGAGUGGAAACCAAGUGUCUGUACAGGGUCUCUACUAUGUGAUCCUCAGUGCUAGACUUGUUUUUAAGAGCUUGAAAGGACCAGCCUAGCCAGACGACUUUGUGUGAAAGGCCUAUUUCUAUAUCUGAGCUCUGACACAGAAACAGGUUGCUAACUUGCACGCUUGCUGGUAUUCAUUCCUUAGGGAUUUCUCCAUUCCCUGUGAAAGAGAGUUCUGUUCCCUUCACAUCCGUUUGUGAGAUUCCAGGCCAGAGACUCUCACAUGCCACAGAGCAACAGUUCACGUCUCCAGCUUCAGGAAGAGCUACGUGAUUCAUCAGACUGAUGAGAUCCUCAGGACACUGGGAUCCCAACCAGAACCAGUGGGCUUACACUGUUCAAGAACAGGCCAAUGAGCACUGGACACAACUCCGAAAAGAUGCCAAGUAUUACAUGGAUAUGGGACACCUGAUGUUCGACCACUCUAAGGCUACUUAAGUCGCCCAUAGAUAACCGUAACGAGACCCCAAACAUGUCCUAUUUAGAACACGCCUUACACAUUCAUAUCAUGUGUAACUGCUGUUGGCAUGCGUUUUUAAAUAGUCAGAUUGCAUUUAUGUCUUCCAGGGAAAACAACAGGCUCUUCUUUAUGGAGAUGCUGGGUAAUGCUUGUACUCACCUUGACAGGUGGACAGUAGAUGUGUUGUGGAGAUGCUGAGCAGACACAGUGUUAUGGACAGUAGCAUCACCUCCGUGAGGGUGGAUGAAUACAAUCACUGCGCUAAAUGUGCUUUCUCUAACGCGCUGUCCUUGACGUAAGAGUGUAUAGCUUGCAGAAUGCAUUUACUG